AAAUUGUACCUCCCGGGGAUGGGCUGUAGCUCAGCGGCAAAGUACUUGCCUUGCAAGUGCAAUGUUCUGGGUGCAAUCCCCAGUACCACAAAAGGGAAGACCACCCUCACCAAAGAUGUACCUUCAAUAUUGUAAUAUAUUGCUGUGUAAAUGUGCUCAAAAUAAUCUGGAGAUAAAAAUAUGUAUUUCUAACAGAAAUAGAGGCAUAUCUAAAUUAUAGCAUUUAAGCAAGAUCUUCAUUUUGAGUAAACAUGACAAUUUCAAAUGUACAAAACCAAUAAUACAUAGCAUACAUUCAUUUUAUACUUAAAAAAAACUAAGCUUAAGAAAAUAAAAAUGAGAAAUGAGGUAGUCAUACCAAAUGAGUAAUAUUUUGACAUUCUAGUAAAUAGAAGACUGUAGAAGAGCUAAGAAAAAGAAAGCUGAGGCAUUCCAAAGA